rnacentral:rRNA from 1 species
GACGGAGGGUGCUAGCGUUGUUCGGAAUGACUGGGCGUAAAGGGCGCGUAGGCGGCUUAUCAAGUCAGGCGUGAAAUUCCCGGGCUCAACCUGGGGGCUGCGCUUGAUACUGAUUGGCUUGAAUGCGGGAGAGGAUAGUGGAAUUCCCAGUGUAGAGGUGAAAUUCGUAGAUAUUGGGAAGAACACCGGUGGCGAAGGCGGCUAUCUGGCCCGUAAUUGACGCUGAGGCGCGAAAGCGUGGGGAGCAAACAGG